CUUCCUUUGUUUGUAUGCAUUUACGUGUUUAUGUACCAUCGGCAUAUUAUUUCCAUCCUAUCCUUCUCCUCAAUUUUUGCCUUAUAUAUUCGUAUAUUCGUUUCUCUCUAUCUCUUAUCAGAAUUCUUGUUUUAAUGCGCAGUGAAAUGAGAAAUUGCGCGCAAAAAAUAUAUUUCGUAAACUAGAAGAGCACAAAAACUAAAUCUGAUUGCCAGUGACACCCUGUUGCAGCAAUGACAGCUGUUCUAAGCCUCCCCACCAUAUUCCACGAUUCGAUAGUACCGACCCCAAGUACUAAUAAUAGUACGGAGACGCUACCAUCUAAAUCGUAGGCGCCAUCAACGCCGUAUACAGAUAUCGAGUCACACGCGCAUAGCCAAUCCGCAGCGCUUCCCCACCAACCAAACCCUACCUCCUACCUCCUCUUAAGCUUUUAACGCUUUUGCAAAUGAAGCCGAUGACUACGAAGGAAGCAGUCAAGCCGAAGCAAAUCUUAUAAAUACUUUUAGAUGCCGCACACACAUUUUAACUCAUAACUGGCCUAGGUUUGUACUUGUGUGCGUGUGUGAAUGGCCAAAUGCCAAUAUUAGCCAACCAGAAGUGAACUGACGGACGACUGUCGCGUCGGCUAGUACAACCAACUCACCGCGCGCGUAUAUACACACAACAACAGCAAAGUAUGCUGUCGCGACUUUCCGCAAAGCGAAUAUGCAGAUAGAGGAAUUUACAAACAAAAUACGAAAUAAAAUGGAUCACGAAGAGCGCAAACACAUACGUAUACAACUACAUGCAAUAUGUACAUAUGGUAUCUCUCUUUGUAGUUACGAAAUUGAAUAAAAUAAAAUAUAAUAUAUUGCAUGUACAAAAGAUGGAAAGAGUAAAAACGGGGAGUCAAAACAAUAGAACAAAAACAAAAUCGAAACGUAUGCACACCAGUAGUUGUUCCGUUGCCGCCACUUCCCCUUCUUUAAUUUACCAUAGAGCAGCUCCAACAUACCAACAACCCCAGUUGAUUCAGAGUAGAGGCAGUUGAGAGUAUAAAUGCAGGUGUGCGAGUGUGUGUAAAUAGUGGAUCUGAUCAUGAGCGAUUGAGAGAAUGAAGUGGAGCCAUAUUGAGAAGAGUUGUCAAGUGACAAACACUUACAUUGAAUAAGUGAAUAAUCAAUUUUGUGAAAACCAAAAAUAAACAGAAAUUGGCAACUCUACCGGCUAAUGGUUUAAAACAGCUGACCGACUCACACGCUGUUACUUACGACGUAGCCACGGCUAUCGCAGUCGACGUUCACAUUUUCAGCAGCAACAGAAACAGCUGUAGCAACAAAAGUAGACGUAAAUGGCAGCCGUGAUUCACCGCUUUACCCAUCGACAUUUCCUGAGGCAAUGACACUAACAACUGCACCACAGCCAUGAGUAUUACCGAAAAACUACCAACAAGACAAGAGAAGUAAAAAGAAA